UCUUGACAAAGGCAAGACCAGCCAAAGCUGGUGACGCAAAGCCACGGGUCAACAGCAGAAAUUAUAGCCUGAACCAGGCGACCGUC
rnacentral:ncRNA from 1 species